rnacentral:rRNA from 1 species
GAUGAACGCUAGCGACAGGCCUAACACAUGCAAGUCGAGGGGGCAUCGGGGCGUAGCAAUACGCUGCCGGCGACCGGCGGAUGGGUGAGUAACGCGUAUGCAACCUGCCUUCAGCAGGGGGAUAGCCCGUUGAAAGACGGAUUAAUACCCCGUAACACAGGGGCUCCGCAUGGAGAUUAUUGUUAAAGGGAUACUUCCUUCGGGGGGUAUUCCGGCUGAAGAUGGGCAUGCGUUCCAUUAGGUAGUUGGUUGAGGUAACGGCUCACCAAGCCUACGAUGGAUAGGGGAACUGAGAGGUUGGUCCCCCACACUGGUACUGAGACACGGACCAGACUCCUACGGGAGGCAGCAGUGAGGAAUCUUGGUCAAUGGACGGAAGUCUGAACCAGCCAUGUCGCGUGAAGGAGGACGGCCCUAAGGGUUGUAAACUUCUUUUGCAGCGGAAUAAAGUAUUCCACGAGAUGGGAUAUUGCAAGUACGCUGCGAAUAAGGAUCGGCUAACUCCGUG